rnacentral:tRNA from 1 species
AAAAGUAGUAUAUAUAUUACAACUCGUUUACACCGAGUCAAAGGCCCACACCCUUUUUGA